UACGUAGGCAGCAAGCGUUGUUCGGAGUUACUGGGCGUAAAGGGUGUGUAGGCGGUUCUUUUAAGUUUGCUGUGAAAUCUCCCGGCUUAACCGGGAGGGUGCGGUGAAUACUGAGGGACUAGAGUACGGGAGAGGAAAGUGGAAUUCCUGGUGUAGCGGUGAAAUGCGUAGAUAUCAGGAGGAACAUCGGUGGUGUAGACGGCUUUCUGGACCGACACUGACGCUGAGACACGAAAGCGUGGGUAGCAAACAGG
rnacentral:rRNA from 1 species